rnacentral:lncRNA from 1 species
AAAUUCCUGAGGAACUCUGGCUUUUAUCUAACCACCAGAAAUCCUACAGUCCAGUUUAAGAUCUGGAUACGGAUUUAAUAUUUCUGGACAUUUGGACGACCCACGAGACCUAAGAACAAUAAACUGAACGUAUAGUGGAUCAUGUACGAUACACAGGAUGGCCCUAUCAAAGGACAAUAAUCACAGUAAAGGAAGCGGAAUAUGGUGGGCAUGAUCAGAUAGAUUUGUAUGAUGAUGUCAUCUCUCCAUCUGCAAAUAAUGGCGAUGCCCCAGAAGACCGGGACUACAUGGAUACUCUUCCACCAACUGUUGGUGAUGAUGUGGGUAAAGGGGCAGCACCAAACGUUGUCUAUACUUACACUGGAAAGAGAAUCGCAUUGUAUAUUGGAAAUCUAACAUGGUGGACAACAGAUGAGGACCUAACUGAAGCAGUUCAUUCUUUGGGAGUAAAUGAUAUUUUGGAGAUAAAAUUUUUUGAAAAUCGGGCAAAUGGACAAUCAAAGGGAUUUGCCCUUGUUGGUGUUGGAUCUGAAGCAUCUUCCAAAAAGUUAAUGGAUCUUUUGCCUAAAAGAGAACUUCACGGUCAGAAUCCUGUUGUAACUCCAUGCAAUAAACAGUUCCUGAGUCAGUUUGAAAUGCAAUCCAGGAAAACUACACAAUCAGGACAAAUGUCUGGGGAAGGUAAAGCUGGUCCUCCAGGAGGCGGUUCACGCGCAGCAUUUCCACAAGGUGGUAGAGGACGGGGCCGUUUUCCAGGGGCUGUUCCUGGUGGGGACAGAUUUCCUGGGCCAGCAGGACCAGGAGGGCCACCUCCACCUUUCCCAGGAAAUUUGAUCAAGCAUCUUGUUAAAGGAACUCGGCCUUUGUUCCUGGAAACUAGGAUUCCAUGGCAUAUGGGGCACAGCAUAGAGGAAAUACCCAUUUUUGGCCUAAAAGCUGGACAGACUCCACCACGUCCACCUCUAGGUCCACCUGGCCCACCUGGCCCCCCAGGUCCUCCACCUCCCGGUCAGGUUCUGCCACCUCCUCUAGCAGGACCUCCUAAUCGAGGAGACCGCCCUCCACCACCAGUUCUUUUUCCUGGACAACCUUUUGGGCAGCCUCCGCUGGGUCCACUUCCUCCUGGGCCUCCACCUCCAGUUCCAGGCUACGGCCCCCCUCCAGGUCCACCGCCUCCACAGCAGGGACCACCUCCACCUCCAGGCCCCUUUCCACCUCGACCACCAGGUCCACUAGGGCCUCCCCUUACACUUGCUCCUCCUCCACAUCUUCCGGGACCACCUCCAGGUGCCCCACCACCAGCUCCACAUGUGAAUCCUGCUUUUUUCCCUCCACCAACUAAUAGUGGCAUGCCAACAUCAGAUAGUCGAGGUCCACCGCCAACAGACCCAUAUGGCCGACCUCCACCAUAUGAUAGGGGUGACUAUGGUCCCCCUGGGAGGGAAAUGGAUACUGCAAGAACACCUCUGAGUGAAGCUGAGUUUGAAGAAAUCAUGAAUAGAAAUCGGGCAAUCUCUAGCAGUGCUAUUUCAAGAGCUGUAUCUGAUGCUAGUGCUGGUGAUUAUGGGAGUGCUAUUGAAACAUUGGUAACAGCAAUUUCUCUAAUUAAACAAUCCAAAGUAUCUGCCGACGAUCGCUGCAAAGUUCUUAUUAGCUCUUUGCAAGACUGCCUUCAUGGAAUUGAGUCCAAGUCCUAUGGGUCUGGAUCAAGAAGACGUGAACGAUCAAGAGAAAGGGACCAUAGUAGAUCACGGGAAAAGAGUCGACGUCAUAAAUCUCGGAGUAGAGAUCGCCAUGAUGAUUAUUACAGAGAGAGAAGCAGAGAGCGAGAGAGACACCGGGAUCGCGAUCGGGAUCGUGACCGGGAGCGCGACCGAGAGCGAGAAUACCGUCAUCGUUAGAAGCUGAAGGAAGAGGAACACCUUCCAAGACAAAGCAGUCUUCACGGGGAAAGUGACGCUUGUCCAGCAGUUUGCUUCUUGAUUGAACUGAACCUGUAAGGAUUCAUGGAUAAACUGAACAGGAAUAGAUCUGAAUAAAGCAAAUCUGCAUAAAUGGUAACCAGUAGCUCUACUUUUAUUUUUUAUGUUGCUUAACUGUUUUAUUUGAAGGAAACUGUGUGAUUUAAAAAGUUAAUAGCUUUUGCAACUUUAUUACUGGUUAUAUAUUUGGCCAUUAUAAUGUGCAAGCAAUUGGAAAAAGUCAAGUAAAUGCUUGUUUUUAUAGUAGUUUGUUCUUGUUAAAAUGUUCAUAUGAUAAUGUCUGUAAACAGCACCAAUUUGAUUACAAUAGAUGUAGUGUUGUAAUAAACUGUUUAAUGGGGCUGAUGUGU